GCAGUCGAGCGGCAGCACAGAGAAACUUGUUUCUCGGGUGGCGAGCGGCGGACGGGUGAGUAAUGCCUGGGAAAUUGCCCUGAUGUGGGGGAUAACCAUUGGAAACGAUGGCUAAUACCGCAUGAUGCCUACGGGCCAAAGAGGGGGACCUUCGGGCCUCUCGCGUCAGGAUAUGCCCAGGUGGGAUUAGCUAGUUGGUGAGGUAAGGGCUCACCAAGGCGACGAUCCCUAGCUGGUCUGAGAGGAUGAUCAGCCACACUGGAACUGAGACACGGUCCAGACUCCUACGGGAGGCAGCAGUGGGGAAUAUUGCACAAUGGGCGCAAGCCUGAUGCAGCCAUGCCGCGUGUGUGAAGAAGGCCUUCGGGUUGUAAAGCACUUUCAGUUGUGAGGAAGGUGGUGUUGUGAAUAGCAGCAUCAUUUGACGUUAGCAACAGAAGAAGCACCGGCUAACUCCGUGCCAGCAGCCGCGGUAAUACGGAGGGUGCGAGCGUUAAUCGGAAUUACUGGGCGUAGAGCGCAUGC
rnacentral:rRNA from 1 species